GUCUGAUGUGAAAGCCCCGGGCUCAACCUGGGAAGUGCAUUGGAAACUGGCAGACUUGAAUACGGGAGAGGGUAGUGGAAUUCCUAGUGUAGGAGUGAAAUCCGUAGAUAUUAGGAGGAACACCGGUGGCGAAGGCGGCUACCUGGACCGAUAUUGACGCUGAGACGCGAAAGCGUGGGUAGCAAACAGGAUUAGAUACCCUGGUAGUCCACGCUGUAAACGAUG
rnacentral:rRNA from 1 species